rnacentral:rRNA from 1 species
AGCGAACGCUGGCGGCAGGCCUAACACAUGCAAGUCGAACGAACCUUUCGGGGUUAGUGGCGGACGGGUGAGUAACACGUGGGAACGUGCCUUUAGGUUCGGAAUAACUCAGGGAAACUUGUGCUAAUACCGAAUGUGCCCUUCGGGGGAAAGAAUUAUCGCCUUUAGAGCGGCCCGCGUCUGAUUAGCUAGUUGGUUGAGGUAAUGGCUCACCAAGGCGACGAUCAGUAGCUGGUCUGAGAGGAUGAUCAGCCACAUUGGGACUGAGACACGGCCCAAACUCCUACGGGAAGCAGCAGUGGGGAAUCUUGCGCAAUGGGCGAAAGCCUGACGCAGCCAUGCCGCGUGAAUGAUGAAGGUCUUAGGAUUGUAAAAUUCUUUCACCGGGGACGAUAAUGACGGUACCCGGAGAAGAAGCCCCGGCUAACUUCGUG